UAGUCCACGCCGUAAACUAUGAUUACUCGAUAUUGGUCUUAUGAUCAGUGUCCAAGCGAAAGUAUUAAGUAAUCCACCUGGGGAGUACGAUCGCAAGGUUGAAACUCAAAGGAAUUGACGGGGGCCCGCACAAGCGGUGGAGCAUGUGGUUUAAUUCGAUGCAACGCGAAGAGCCUUACCUAGGCUCUAAUGUGACCGCAAUCCGGUGAAAGCUGGAGUUCCUUCGGGACGGGAAACAAGGUGCUGCAUGGUUGUCGUCAGCUCGUGCCGUGAGGUGUUGGGUUAAGUCCCGCAACGAGCGCAACCCUUGUCUUUAGUUGCCAUCAUUUAGUUGGGCACUCUAGAGAAACUGCCGGUGACAAACCGGAGGAAGGUAAGGAUGACGUCAAGUCAGCAUGCCCCUUACGCUCUGGGCUACACACGUGCUACAAUGGUCGUGACAAAGAGUUGCUAGUCUGCGAAGGCAAGCCAAUCUCAUAAACGCGGCCUUAGUUCGGAUUGCAGG
rnacentral:rRNA from 1 species